rnacentral:rRNA from 1 species
UACGAAGGUCCCGAGCGUUGUUCGGAAUCACUGGGCGUAAAGGGAGCGUAGGCGGCGUGGUAAGUCAGAUGUGAAAUCCCGGGGCUCAACCCCGGAACUGCAUCCGAUACUGCCAUGCUAGAGGAUUGGAGAGGUAGCUGGAAUUCUUGGUGUAGCAGUGAAAUGCGUAGAGAUCAAGAGGAACACUCGUGGCGAAAGCGAGCUACUGGACAAUUCCUGACGCUGAGG